AUUCGCGGCCUAUCAGCUUGUUGGUGAGGUAACGGCUCACCAAGGCAACGACGGGUAGCUGGUCUGAGAGGACGAUCAGCCACACUGGGACUGAGACACGGCCCAGACUCCUACGGGAGGCAGCAGCAGGGAAUUUUGCACAAUGGGCGCAAGCCUGAUGCAGCGACGCCGCGUGGGGGAUGAAUGCCUUCGGGUUGUAAACCCCUUUCAGGAGGGACGAAGCGAAAGUGACGGUACCUCCAGAAGAAGCCCCGGCCAACUACGUGCCAGCAGCCGCGGUAAUACGUAGGGGGCGAGCGUUGUCCGGAUUUAUUGGGCGUAAAGAGCUCGUAGGCGGCUCAACAAGUCGGCCGUGAAAGCCUGAGGCUCAACCUCAGGACGCCGGUCGAAACUGUUGUGGCUAGGGUUCGGUAGAGGAGAGUGGAAUUCCCGGUGUAGCGGUGAAAUGCGCAGAUAUCGGGAGGAACACCAGUAGCGAAGGCGGCUCUCUGGGCCGAUACCGACGCUGAGGAGCGAAAGCUAGGGGAGCAAACAGGAUUAGAUACCCUGGUAGUCCUAGCCGUAAACGUUGGGCACUAGGUGUGGCGGAUUCAUUGACAUCUGCCGUGCCGUAGCUAACGCAUCAAGUGCCCCGCCUGGGGAGUACGGAAUCGUCGACCUGCCAGGCCAAA
rnacentral:rRNA from 1 species